GACGAACGCUGGCGGCGUGCUUAACACAUGCAAGUCGAACGGAAAGGCCCUGCUUUUGUGGGGUGCUCGAGUGGCGAACGGGUGAGUAACACGUGAGUAACCUGCCCUUGACUUUGGGAUAACUUCAGGAAACUGGGGCUAAUACCGGAUAGGAGCUCCUGCUGCAUGGUGGGGGUUGGAAAGUUUCGGCGGUUGGGGAUGGACUCGCGGCUUAUCAGCUUGUUGGUGGGGUAGUGGCUUACCAAGGCUUUGACGGGUAGCCGGCCUGCGAGGGUGACCGGCCACAUUGGGACUGAGAUACGGCCCAGACUCCUACUGGAGGCAGCAGUGGGGAAUAUUGCACAAUGGGCGGAAGCCUAAGGCAGCAACGCCGCGUGCGGGAUGACGGCCUUCGGGUUGUAAACCGCUUUCGCCUGUGACGAAGCGUGAGUGACGGUAAUGGGUAAAGAAGCACCGGCUAACUACGUG
rnacentral:rRNA from 1 species